AGUGCCAACCUCUUUCCACCCGGUGAAGCGCUUUCCGAACCCGUAGAUGGCACUUGCAUAAGUCCCUGCGGCUUCUGCAUAUCCGGAGCGACCAGUCCCCGCUCAUCAAUUGGAUAGAUGGCAACGUUCGCCUUGUUACAAGUAUCGAUGACCGCAGUCACUUCCGAUUGAAAUUCGAAACUCAAAGGAAUUGACGGGCUUCCGAAACUGCUGUGCUUGAGUGUGGGAUAGGCGCGUGGAAUUGCAAGUGUAACGGUGAAAUGCGUACAUAUCUGCAGGAACACCCGUGGCGAAAGCGGCGCGCUGGACCACAACUGACGCUGAGGAACCAAAGCUAGGGGAGCAAACAGGAUUAGAUACCCUGGUACUCCUAGCCCUAAACGAUCAGGACUUGGGGUGCUUCACGUUCGUGGAACGUCCCGGAGCUAACGCGUUAAGUCCUGCACCUGGGGAGUACGGUCCCAAGACUGAAAC
rnacentral:rRNA from 1 species